AGCUUGCUCCCAUUUCUCAGCGGCGGACGGGUGAGUAACACGUGGGCAACCUGCCCUGCAGACUGGGAUAACUCCGGGAAACCGGAGCUAAUACCGGGUAAUACAUAGCAUCGCAUGAUGCAACGUUGAAAGUUGGCCUUUGGCUAACACUGCAGGAUGGGCCCGCGGCGCAUUAGCUAGUUGGUAAGGUAACGGCUUACCAAGGCCACGAUGCGUAGCCGACCUGAGAGGGUGAUCGGCCACACUGGGACUGAGACACGGCCCAGACUCCUACGGGAGGCAGCAGUAGGGAAUCUUCCGCAAUGGACGAAAGUCUGACGGAGCAACGCCGCGUGAGUGACGAAGGCCUUCGGGUCGUAAAGCUCUGUUGUUAGGGAAGAACAAGUACCGUUCGAAUAGGGCGGUACCUUGACGGUACCUAACCAGAAAGCCACGGCUAACUACGUGCCAGCAGCCGCGGUAAUACGUAGGUGGCAAGCGUUGUCCGGAAUUAUUGGGCGUAAAGCGCGCGCAGGCGGUCUCUUAAGUCUGAUGUGAAAGCCCACGGCUCAACCGUGGAGGGCCAUUGGAAACUGGGGGACUUGAGUGCAGAAGAGGAGAGUGGAAUUCCACGUGUAGCGGUGAAAUGCGUAGAUAUGUGGAGGAACACCAGUGGCGAAGGCGGCUCUCUGGUCUGUAACUGACGCUGAAGCGCGAAAGCGUGGGGAGCGAACAGGAUUAGAUACCCUGGUAGUCCACGCCGUAAACGAUGAGUGCUAGGUGUUGGGGGCUUCCACCCUCAGUGCUGAAGUUAACACAUUAAGCACUCCGCCUGGGGAGUACGACCGCAAGGUUGAAACUCAAAGGAAUUGACGGGGGCCCGCACAAGCAGUGGAGCAUGUGGUUUAAUUCGAAGCAACGCGAAGAACCUUACCAGGUCUUGACAUCCUCUGCCACUCCUAGAGAUAGGACGUUCCCCUU
rnacentral:rRNA from 1 species